GACGAACGCUGGCGGCGGGCUUAACACAUGCAAGUCGAACGGAAAGGCCCUGCUUUUGUGGGGUGCUCGAGUGGCGAACGGGUGAGUAACACGUGAGUAACCUGCCCUUGACUUUGGGAUAACUUCAGGAAACUGGGCUUAAGCCCGGAUAGCAUCCCCUCUUCCGGGGUGGGGUUGGGAAAUUUUGGCCGGGUGGGGUUGAAUGCGCGGCUGACGAGCUUGUUGGUGGGGUAGUGGCUUACCAAGCCUUGGACGGGUAGCCGGCACGAGAGGGUGACCGGCCACAUUGGGACUGAGAUACGGCCCAGACUCCUACGGGAGGCAGCAGUGGGGAAUAUUGCACAAUGGGCGGAAGCCUGAUGCAGCAACGCCGCGUGCGGGAUGACGGCCUUCGGGUUGUAAACCGCUUUCGCCUGUGACGAAGCGUGAGUGACGGUAAUGGGUAAAGAAGCACCGGCUAACUACGUG
rnacentral:rRNA from 1 species